UGGUCGCCCGACGAGGGCGCCAAGAGGGAAGCCGGUGAGAGUCCGGCGCAGUCCCGCUGCUGUAAGCUCACGAGCCAGAAGCCCAAUAUGUUAAGCCACUGUGCACCGCCAUAGGCGCAUGGGAAGGCAGGGCGAAAGGAGCAAGCCAGAAGACCUACCAGACCAG
rnacentral:ncRNA from 1 species